rnacentral:rRNA from 1 species
UACGAAGGGGGCUAGCGUUGCUCGGAAUUACUGGGCGUAAAGCGCGCGUAGGCGGCUUUGCAAGUUAGAGGUGAAAGCCCGGAGCUCAACUCCGGAACUGCCUUUAAAACUGCAUAGCUUGAAUCCGGGAGAGGUGAGUGGAAUUCCGAGUGUAGAGGUGAAAUUCGUAGAUAUUCGGAAGAACACCAGUGGCGAAGGCGGCUCACUGGACCGGUAUUGACGCUGAGGUGCGAAAGCGUGGGGAGCAAACAGG